rnacentral:rRNA from 1 species
UGGGGAAUAUUGGACAAUGGGCGCAAGCCUGAUCCAGCCAUGCCGCGUGAGUGAUGAAGGCCCUAGGGUUGUAAAGCUCUUUCACCGGUGAAGAUAAUGACGGUAACCGGAGAAGAAGCCCCGGCUAACUUCGUGCCAGCAGCCGCGGUAAUACGAAGGGGGCUAGCGUUGUUCGGAUUUACUGGGCGUAAAGCGCACGUAGGCGGACUAUUAAGUCAGGGGUGAAAUCCCGGGGCUCAACCCCGGAACUGCCUUUGAUACUGGUAGUCUUGAGUUCGAGAGAGGUGAGUGGAAUUCCGAGUGUAGAGGUGAAAUUCGUAGAUAUUCGGAGGAACACCAGUGGCGAAGGCGGCUCGCUGGCUCGAUACUGACGCUGAGGUGCGAAAGCGUGGGGAGCAAACAGG